rnacentral:rRNA from 1 species
UACGUAGGGGGCUAGCGUUGUCCGGAAUCAUUGGGCGUAAAGGGCGCGUAGGCGGCCUUCUAAGUCGAACGUGAAAUCCCCGGGCUCAACCCGGGAACUGCGUCCGAUACUGGAAGGCUUGAAUCCGGAAGAGGGAUGCGGAAUUCCAGGUGUAGCGGUGAAAUGCGUAGAUAUCUGGAGGAACACCGGUGGCGAAGGCGGCAUCCUGGACCGGCAUUGACGCUGAGGCGCGAAAGCCAGGGGAGCAAACGGG